AUGCAAGUCGAGCGGAAACGAAGAGGUGCUUGCACCUUUGGCGUCGAGCGGCGGACGGGUGAGUAAUGCUUGGGAAUAUGCCUUAUGGUGGGGGACAACAGUUGGAAACGACUGCUAAUACCGCAUGAUGUCUACGGACCAAAGUGGGGGACCUUCGGGCCUCACGCCAUAAGAUUAGCCCAAGUGGGAUUAGCUAGUUGGUGAGGUAAUGGCUCACCAAGGCGACGAUCCCUAGCUGGUUUGAGAGGAUGAUCAGCCACACUGGGACUGAGACACGGCCCAGACUCCUACGGGAGGCAGCAGUGGGGAAUAUUGCACAAUGGGCGCAAGCCUGAUGCAGCCAUGCCGCGUGUGUGAAGAAGGCCUUCGGGUUGUAAAGCACUUUCAGUAAGGAGGAAAGGUUAAGUGUUAAUAGCACUUAGCUGUGACGUUACUUACAGAAGAAGCACCGGCUAACUCCGUGCCAGCAGCCGCGGUAAUACGGAGGGUGCGAGCGUUAAUCGGAAUUACUGGGCGUAAAGCGUACGCAGGCGGUUUGUUAAGCGAGAUGUGAAAGC
rnacentral:rRNA from 1 species